rnacentral:rRNA from 1 species
CGCGUGGGUAACCUGCCUCAUACAGGGGGAUAACAGUUGGAAACGACUGCUAAUACCGCAUAAGCGCACAGGAUUGCAUGAUCCGGUGUGAAAAACUCCGGUGGUAUGAGAUGGACCCGCGUCUGAUUAGCCAGUUGGCAGGGUAACGGCCUACCAAAGCGACGAUCAGUAGCCGACCUGAGAGGGUGACCGGCCACAUUGGGACUGAGACACGGCCCAA